CCUACGGGUUGCACCAGUGGGGAAUAUUGGACAAUGGACCAAAAGUCUGAUCCAGCAAUUCUGUGUGCACGAUGAAGGUCUUCGGAUCGUAAAGUGCUUUCAGGUGGGAAGAAAAAAAUGACGGUACCACCAGAAGAAGCGACGGCUAAAUACGUGCCAGCAGCCGCGGUAAUACGUAUGUCGCAAGCGUUAUCCGGAAUUAUUGGGCGUAAAGCGCGUCUAGGCGGCCUUUUAAGUCUGAUGUGAAAAUGCGGGGCUCAACUCCGUAUUGCGUUGGAAACUGGAGGGCUAGAGAAUCAGAGAGGUGGGCGGAGCUACAAGUGUAGAGGUGAAAUUCGUAGAUAUUUGUAGGAAUGCCGAUUGGGAAGCCAGCUCACUGGAUGAAUACUGACGCUGAAGCGCGAAAGCGUGGGGAGCAAACGGGAUUAGAUACCCGAGUAGUC
rnacentral:rRNA from 1 species